rnacentral:rRNA from 1 species
CAGUCGCCACGGUAAUACGAAGGGUGCAAGCGUUAAUCGGAAUUACUGGGCGUAAAGCGUGCGUAGGCGGUUUGUUAAGUCUGCUGUGAAAUCCCCGGGCUCAACCUGGGAAUGGCAGUGGAUACUGGCAAGCUAGAGUGUGUCAGGGGAUGGUGGAAUUCCCGGUGUAGCGGUGAAGUGCGUAGAGAUCGGGAGGAACAUCAGUGGCGAAGGCGGCCAUCUGGGACAACACUGACGCUGAGGCACGAAAGCGUGGGGAGCAAACAGGAUUAGAUACCCGUGUAGUCCCUGUCUCUUAUAA